AUGCUAUGCAGUUGCAGGAACUACAUCCUAGCGAUUGUGCGGGAACCAAAGAGUGUUACACCGGUUUAUCGUCACCACAAGAAAAAAAUGUUCACUAAGAAAGCACACAUCGAAAAGUUUGAUAGGGCCAAUGAAGGAAGUGUAGAAUCAACUUUGCCGGACAAGCAGAUCACUACCCAGGAAUUGCAUCCUAGUUUUUCUAUGAGAACCAAAGAGGAUUACACUGGUUUAUCUUUACCACACAUGGUUUCUGUGUAG
rnacentral:rRNA from 1 species